rnacentral:miRNA from 1 species
AUUAAGCUAACACAUCAAUACA